rnacentral:rRNA from 1 species
GGAAAUGGCUACCACAUCCAAGGAUGGCAGCAGGCGUGCAAAUUACCCACUCUCAGUACGAGGAGGUAGUGACGAAAAAUAACAAUGCGGGACUCAUCAGAGGCCUCGCAAUUGGAAUGAGCGCACUUUAAAUCGUUCGACGAGGAUCUAUUGGAGGGCAAGUCUGGUGCCAGCAGCCGCGGUAAUUCCAGCUCCAAUAGCGUAUAUUAAAGUUGUUGCAGUUAAAAAGCUCGUAGUUGGAUCUGGGGUUCGGGUCGGCGGUUUGCCGCUUCGGCGGCUACUGCCGUGCUCGACUCUUACUAGCCGGUGCGUCUUGCGGUGCUCUUCAUCGAGUGCCGUAGGAGCCUGGCAUGUUUACUUUGAAAAAAUUAGAGUGCUCAAAGCAGGCGAUUCCGCCUGAAUAGUGUUGCAUGGAAUAAUGGAAUAGGACCUCGGUUCUAUUUUGUUGGUUUUCGGAACUUGAGGUAAUGAUUAAGAGGGACGGUCGGGGGCAUUCGUAUUUCGGUGUUAGAGGUGAAAUUCUUGGAUCGCUGAAAGACGGACAAAUGCGAAAGCAUCUGCCAAGAACGUCUCCAUUAAUCAAGAACGAAAGUCAGAGGUUCGAAGACGAUCAGACACCGUCCUAGUUCUGACCAUAAACGAUGCCAACUAGCGAUCUGCAGUGGUUGCUAUAAACGGACUCUGCGAGCAGCUUCCGGGAAACCAAAGUGUUUGGGUUCCGGGGGAAGUAUGGUUGCAAAGCUGAAACUUAAAGGAAUUGACGGAAGGGCACCACCAGGAGUGGAGCCUGCGGCUUAAUUUGACACAACACGGGGAAACUCACCCGGUCCGGACACUGUAAGGAUUGACAGAUCGAGAGCUCUUUCUUGAUUCGGUGGAUGGUGGUGCAUGGCCGUUCUUAGUUGGUGGAGUGAUUUGUCUGGUUAAUUCCGAUAACGAACGAGACUCUAGCCUGCUAACUAGUUGCGCCGUGUUCAUACGCGGCUGUAGACUUCUUAGAGGGACAGGUGGCGUUUAGCCACACGAAAUUGAGCAAUAACAGGUCUGUGAUGCCCUUAGAUGUCCGGGGCCGCACGCGCGCUACACUGAAGGAGUCAGCGUGUGCUAUCCGGGCUCGGAAGAGUUCGGUAACCCGUUGAAACUCCUUCGUGCUUGGGAUUGUGGCUUGUAAUUAUCGCGCAUGAACGAGGAAUUCCCAGUAAGUGCAAGUCAUCAGCUUGCGCUGACUACGUCCCUGCCCUUUGUACACACCGCCCGUCGCUACUACCGAUUGAAUGGUUUAGCAAGGUACUCGGAUUGGUCUCGAUCUUGUACGAAAGUGCGGGAUCUGUGGCCGAGAAGAAGGCCAAACUUGAUCAUUUAGAGGAAGUAAAAGUCGUAACAAGGUU